GCAGUGGUGGUUCAGUGGUAAAAUUCUCACUUUCUACAUGGGAAACCCAGGUUCGAGUCCCAGCCAAUGCA
rnacentral:tRNA from 1 species